rnacentral:rRNA from 1 species
GACGAACGCUGGCGGCGUGCUUAACACAUGCAAGUCGAGCGGUAAGGCCCUUUCGGGGGUACACGAGCGGCGAACGGGUGAGUAACACGUGGGUGACCUGCCCUCAGCUCUGGGAUAAGCCUGGGAAACUGGGUCUAAUACCGGAUAUGACUCCAUGACGCAUGUUGUGGGGUGGAAAGCCUUGUGCGGCUGAGGAUGGGCCCGCGGCCUAUCAGCUUGUUGGUGGGGNGAUGGCCUACCAAGGCGACGACGGGUAGCCGGCCUGAGAGGGCGACCGGCCACACUGGGACUGAGACACGGCCCAGACUCCUACGGGAGGCAGCAGUGGGGAAUCUUGCGCAAUGGGCGAAAGCCUGACGCAGCGACGCCGCGUGAGGGAUGACGGCCUGGUU